rnacentral:rRNA from 1 species
GAUGAACGCUAGCGACAGGCUUAACACAUGCAAGUCGAGGGGCAGCACAGGUAGCAAUACCGGGUGGCGACCGGCGCACGGGUGAGUAACGCGUAUGCAACUUACCUAUCAGAGGGGGAUAACCCGGCGAAAGUCGGACUAAUACCGCAUGAAGCAGGGGCCCCGCAUGGGGAUAUUUGCUAAAGAUUCAUCGCUGAUAGAUAGGCAUGCGCUCCAUUAGGCAGUUGGCGGGGUAGCGGCCCACCAAACCGACGAUGGAUAGGGGUUCUGAGAGGAAGGUCCCCCACAUUGGUACUGAGACACGGACCAAACUCCUACGGGAGGCAGCAGUGAGGAAUAUUGGUCAAUGGGCGUAAGCCUGAACCAGCCAAGUCGCGUGAGGGAUGAAGGUUCUAUGGAUCGUAAACCUCUUUUAUAAGGGAAUAAAGUGCGGGACGUGUCCCGUUUUGUAUGUACCUUAUGAAUAAGGAUCGGCUAACUCCGUGCCAGCAGCCGCGGUAAUACGGAGGAUCCGAGCGUUAUCCGGAUUUAUUGGGUUUAAAGGGUGCGUAGGCGGCCUUUUAAGUCAGCGGUGAAAGUCUGUGGCUCAACCAUAGAAUUGCCGUUGAAACUGGGAGGCUUGAGUAUGUUUGAGGCAGGCGGAAUGCGUGGUGUAGCGGUGAAAUGCUUAGAUAUCACGCAGAACCCCGAUUGCGAAGGCAGCCUGCCAAGCCAUGACUGACGCUGAUGCACGAAAGCGUGGGGAUCAAACAGGAUUAGAUACCCUGGUAGUCCACGCAGUAA